rnacentral:misc_RNA from 1 species
UAACCUUUAAUGAUGAUGCAAACUCACUAAAUAAAAAGAACUUCAGCUACAUAAUUGGAAUGAGAUAUAAGAAUAACAAACGAGAAAUUAAAGAUACUGACAAGAAAAGUCUCUGAUCAUUUUGGAACAAUUUUCAUUAUAAAAGGGAAAAUAAAAAUCUUAAAUUAGCUAUUAUAUGCAACUGAAAACAUUCAACAAUGCAGGUAAGAAGCAUAGAGUUGAAUCAUACCAAAAGGCACAACGAAACUGAGGAACACUAUGUCACUACCUCAAAUUCUCGUAGAAGAGGAAUCAAAAUCAUCAGGAGCAACCCGAGCAAUCCAGUUGCUGAGAGUUCGCUUAAUAUCCGAGUGAUUAACAUAAGCCAACUCAUACAUACUACACAAAUUAACUACAAGCGUUUCAUUCAAUGCAACAGUGGGCACUCUCUCAAGUGAAUUCUCCAAAACCUUAAUUGAAUCAGACAAAUCCCUCAGGUACAUCAAGCAGAGAGCUUUGUUGUUAAUGGCCACAACAUCCAUAGGAUCUCUCUCUAUGCACUCCUCGUAUUCCCUCACGGCCGACACAUAAUCCUUCCCAACCAAAUACACUAACGCCUUGUUUCUAUUCACCUGAUUCCUGAACUCAACCUCACUCAGUAACUCAUCAUCAACCCCAGCAUUUCGUUCUUUCAACAAUUUCUCAACCUUAUCAAAUGAACCCUUUGCCCCCUCCAAAUCCCCAAUUUGCAUCUGUAUAUGCCCCAAUUUUGACAAUAGAACAGGAUCUAAAUUACCACGAGAAACCAAAUCUUUAAUCAAAUCCAAACAAACACCAAAUUCUUUAUUUUUCAAAUGCUCACUGAUUAUGCCAUUCAUAACAAACACCUCUCUUUUUUUCCACAUUUUGAUUGAAACAUCAUAAUCUUGUUUUUCCUUUAGUUUUCCACGAACAAAAUCGAGCAAUAUAUAAAACCGAUCUAAUCCUUCUUGGCGGUUACCUAAUUUUAUCGGAAUCAAUGCAUGAAGCCAGCGGAGAGAGAAGGGGACCAUAGAACCACACCGAGUGGGGUAGAUUUUCGGAUAUGUUUCGUAUCGGUAAUGGUGGCUAUCGAAAUCGUCGACGGAAUCGAGCUCCGUGAGAGCGUCCUUGAAACGGCGUAAUUUGGCGAGAGCAAGGACGUUGUAGGCGAGGUAAGUGAGAUGGUCAUGAGGUGUGUUAAGGAGAGAGUGUGAGCGGGCACGAGCGACCUUGUCGAGGAUCGAGCGCCAGCUGCCGCGGUUCGCAAGGUCCUGGAGAGAGGCGAGUUCGUGGGCAAGGUCAUUGAGAGAACCGAAUUGGUUCGAUAGCGGAUCAGCUGACUGUGAGACGGCUUCGUGUUGAAGAAGUGUAUCGGUAUCCAUUGUCGGCGGUGGAAGGUUGAUGUGCGUCGCCGGAGUCACUGGAGAUUUUUGGGAGGGCGAUAUUGGAGCUGUGGAUAGCUUGGUAAAGCAGGCUUCGGGUUUGGAAUUGCAUUGGGGCAAGGCAAG